rnacentral:rRNA from 1 species
UACGAAGGGGGCUAGCGUUGUUCGGAAUUACUGGGCGUAAAGGGCGCGCGGGCGGCCUUGCAAGUUGGGCGUGAAAGGCCUGGGCUUAACCUGGGAAUUGCGCUUGAGACUGCAAGGCUAGAGGGCGGGAGGGGAUGGUGGAAUUCCCAGUGUAGAGGUGAAAUUCGUAGAUAUUGGGAAGAACACCGAUGGCGAAGGCGGCCAUCUGGACCGCAUCUGACGCUGAGGCGCGAAAGCGUGGGGAGCAAACAGG